CACAGGUCAAAUCUGACUCAGGAAGAAAACUUCUUACUAUGAUUUGAGCCUCCUCUCUUGCCUCUCUCCCCUGGCUCACUUUAGCGUUCUUGGCUUCCUUUCAGUUCUAUGGGCAAGCCAGGCUCUUUCCCGCUGCCAGGACGUUGUGUGUGCUGUUCCUGUUACCUGGGCCGCUCUUUCCUGCUUACUUUGCCAAGCUAGUUACCUCCUAUCCUUCAGGAAUCUGCUGAAGCAUCAUGUCCUUAGAGGUCUGGUUACUUCCUGCUCUGCUCCAGUUGUUCUCAAUCUCAGUGUGAUUGCUUCCUUCUCAAUUCUUGCUAUGAUAAACAACUAAUGUAUUUACUCAUUUUUUGUCAUCCGCUUUCCUCACCAAAACACAGGCUCCCUGAUGGCAGAGGUAUCAUCUGUCCUCCUUGUCCCUAUAUCUCCAGGAGCUGGCGAUAUUAAAUGUUCAAUGUUUGUUGAAUAUAUUAAAUUAAACCUUUCCCAAAUUUCCACCACAAUACAUUUUUUAACUUUUCAUUUUGAAAUAAUUAUACACUCAUCAGAAGUUGCAAAGAUAAUACAAAUGAGUCCCAUAUACUCAUCACCCAGCUUCCCCUGUUGUAACCUCUUACAUCAGACUAGCACAAUAUUAAUACCAGAAGGUGCAGCAGGCUCUCCCUCCCUUUUACUUUAAUGGUGGGUGAUUUCAACAGGCAACUGUUAUUUGCUUAAUGUAAUCCUUCGCUAUUUUAUAUUUUGGGACAUUUUAUCUCCCCUUUUCUGAUGCUUCCUUCAAGGACAACAUCAGCUUUUUCAGCACAUGGUGAGCACCUUGUAAUACACUUAAUUCUUAAGAUAGUGAACUGGAAUGUGAUCAGAAAGCUACUUUUUUUUUUUUUCAGGCAAAAGAAAAAAAAAAAAAAAAAAAAAAAAAAAAAGAACACACCCUGGACUGCCCAUUGCCGAAUCACCUGAAGAGAGCCCUUCAAUUUUAACUAAUCAUUUUU
rnacentral:lncRNA from 1 species